CACUGGAGGCAGCGGUUCAUCGAUCUCUUCCUGGAUUUUGUUGUGAAAAAUACUCAAACAGAACAUGAAUGGGUCGAUAAACCUCUGCAUCCAGC
rfam:Punica granatum cultivar Dabenzi scaffold33, whole genome shotgun sequence.